UCUUCAAGUGCAGUAAGCCACUCUUUCCAGAGAGUGCUUUUCUGCUCUGUUUCAUGGAGAUGCUUCAUAUUAUUGAUGUGAUGUGUCUGUCGGAGUUCUGAAAACCAAACCUCAUGAAGUUUUCACUUCAGAGAUCCCACCAAUGUUCGAGAAGAUUUGUCUGCGGGGAUUAUUUUCCGAAGGAGAAUCACAACGUGCCAGAAUGUGAUUCCUGAAGUUUUAAGAAAGGGUGAAUCUGCAAAAUGAAGAAAUCCAUCCCAGCUGAGGCCAGUGGUGGGUGUUUGCUGCUGAGGUGCAUCCUGUGACUGGGGGAACUGCUCAUGUGCUCCAGCUCCUGCACUUGAUCUCCACAUGUCUGUGUUCUCACCAAAUUGCGUUGGCAGAGAUAACAAACGGUCAUGGCCUGCUGAGGGUGUCGGUGGUGCUGGGUCAUUUUUUAGUUGUCUAAUGGAGAGGUUUAUUUUUCAGGUCAACUUAGAUGUCCACAGUUCAGAUCAUGCCUUAUGCCGGUUUGAAUCAUUCAUGGGUGGUGAAUACAGGUGAAGUUGGUUUGUUUUUUCAGUGGCAUUAGCCAUCGUGUCCUGUCUCUUCUCCCCCUGUGGUCAGUGGGUGCCUGGGCAGCCCCCACAGUCCCUUUGGACACUCUCUUCUCCACCGGCACAGGGCCGACGGCCCCUGCUCCAGGCGCUCAUUUGGGAACCGGUGCCCCAGGAGCUGCAGCAGGAGAUGUGUUCCGAGCAGCACGGUGGUUUAUUCAUUUGCUUAUUCUUGAUGACUUUUUGUUGUGGCUUUAAAAGAACAAAGCAGACAGCAGCAGACAGCUCUGCCAAUGUGAGCGGUGACCGUGAGAGGGAAGCGCGUCUUGCGGCUCAUGACAGCGCAGAGCUAGCGGAUAGAACAGACUAGCUCACAGUAUCUCUACAAAGCUGCAUUAGAAAUCCCUUAGCGGUUCUGGCUGUGUCUGCAGAGCUGGGAAAAGGAAAUACAAGCACACCAGGACUGGUCUAAACAUACAGUCUUGCCUGGUUUCUCCCACUCCCUCUGAAACACCCGUCUCCCCAGGGCAGCAGCUCUAGUGAUGCAUUUCAUGUCUUCUAAGAAGUUAGAUGGGUUCCUGCUGUGGUUUGGCCAUGCAGUAGUCUGAGGCACACUUUACCCAAAUGCAAUAAAUGGCAAUACAAAGGUGGUAUUUGAAGUUUUCAAACAUAUGUUGGAUGAAGGACAAUGCCUGCAUUAUAUUCUCCAGACUUCCAUUUCCUUCUUACCUUUCAGUGCCUUGUCUGCA